UAGAUUAUUCACUCAGCGACAGUGAAGAGUUGACAAUGGAUCUGCACUGGAACCCUUCUGUUUGCGGGACAAAUAUAUAUAAGUGACAUGGAUUAAAAUCUAAUUUGCUUUGAUGGAGAUGUGUUGAAAAUGUUUGCAG